rnacentral:tRNA from 1 species
GAGGGUAUAGCUCAAGUGGUAGAGCUGCAUGCUUAGCAUGCAUGAAGUCCUGGGUUCAAUCCCCAGUACCUCCU